GGAAUUCGGUACGUGCGUUUUUUUCAAGUGAACUUCAGUUUCAAUCUUCUUCAUCUCUCUUCUUCUAUUGUGUUGUGUGAUUGUUGUUCAAUUAUGAUUUAUUAAGGAAUUCGUCAUUUCGUAACAUGCACACCAAAUGUUCGGUGAAAUGCCUGAACUGAGUUCUUUCUCUUUUUUGUUUGAUUACUGCGGAAUUGUUGUUGUGUUGAUAUUCAUUGUUGUAACAGGUUGUGGUUGGCGAAUUGAUGGAGAAUUGUUGUCCUGAUAUUCAUUGUUGUAUACAUGAUUUUUUAUUUAACAGGACUUCAGUAUCAUCGGAGGAUUCGCUUCCCGACACUUCGUGUUUGACCCAACAUUCUAUGGCCUCGUAGUUAACUAUUUAACUAUUGUGGGAGCUACUCGAGCAUAAUUUUCUUAAUUCCUCAUACUAGCUUGUGAUAUUAAGAUUCACAUGAUUAUUUGUUUCUACAGAACAAUGAAAUUUGUGAAUAUAUUUUAUCCGGAGUUUAUCUGAAUUCCACGAACAUUUCCAUUUUCCAUAAUUCAUCAUUAUAGGAAAAAAAUAAAAGUUUGAUUUUUUUCCAUGUUCAACUUUUAAAAUCAAUUUUGUAAAAUAAAAAAUAAUUAUAUUCUAUAUUUUCGAAUUCAUUCAUUUUCAUUUUCAUUCAUCUGCGAGAUUCGUCCUCAGUAUAAAAUGUGACUGUUGAUACUCUCAUUUCUCAACCAAAAGGUACCUUCUCUUUCAACCUCAACCUGAACCGGUGUAUUGUAUAUUAUUUAAGUUUUUCAGUUUUUUCUAUAAAGUCAUUAUUCUAACUACAUUCAUUCAUCUCUUUCUUUUGAGUACAAAUUCUAAGCACAUUCAUCAUAAUACAUUAAAUUCCAAUCUACAUUAAAUUUACUAAUCAAUUUCAUUUGACAGUUUCUACAUGUGUGUUUUGUAUAUGCAUUAAUAUAUAUACUUGUCGUAGAUUAGAGCUCUUCACCACCCAACACAAUAUACUAAAUUACAAUGUAUAUGUUUGUUCCAUUUUCACAAUCUUCGGUUGGUUGGAAUUUUUAACUUUUCUGCAUUUAUUUGCAGUUUUUUCUGUUUGAAUUAAUGCUUUUGAGAAAAGGGUACCUUUCAAAACUUAUUAUACUUGUUUGUUUCUCAUUGCAGUUAUUGUCUUUGGGUGCAUGAAUUUCUGAACCCAUUUGACACAGUUACUGAUUCAACAUUGCUAACGUGUGGACUGGAUUGAUUCCCCCUUGGAUCCCGGGCAUUGGUGUGUGCUGACUUCAUUAAGCUUAUUUGAUUUUUUUUCAUAGAUGGGGCAUUCUACAGCUGUGUGGGACUUUAGAGCAGCAACUGAAGUUACAAAGGACUAGAAUGGAAUUGAUCAAGUGGUACUUCGAACGCCAUAAGGGGCUUCAGCACGGGACUUCUGUAUCAUCGGACGAUUCGCUUCCCGACACUUCGUGUUUGACCCAACAUUCUAUGGCCUCGUAGUUAACUAUUGUGGGAGCUACUCGAGCAUAAUUUUCUUAAUUCCUCAUACUAGCUUGUGAUAUUAAGAUUCACAUGAUUAUUUGUUUCUACAGAACAAUGAAAUUUGUGAAUAUAUGGUAAGAAACUUUAUUUUCUUAAUUCCUCAUACUAGCUUGUGAUAUUAAGAUUCACAUGAUUAUUUUUUUCCCAAACCACAGGAGAGUCCAGUUCCACCACAAACUCUGGAUAAAAUAUAUGGUAAGAAUUUCUUUCCUCUUAUCUUACUUUUUCAUAAUUGCUUUAAUGGAAACAUAGAGUUUAAAACAUGGACUUAAGCCAUCUAAUAGCACUUACUAAAGAAUUUCUCAUUGAGGUUUUAUAUCUCAUUAUUUAAGUUUAUUGUUACUGUCAACUAAUAUGAAAAACUCAAGUGAGGAUUUAUCCAAGCAAAAAUAGCUUCUUCUUAGUUGCCUUUUUGAAAUUUGUAACUCUUAGUGGAUUUCAAAUAGUUGAAGAGAGCUAUAACC